rnacentral:rRNA from 1 species
GUCUAUGGCCAUGCCACCCUGAAUAUGCCUGAUCUCUUCUGAUCUUGGAGCUAAGCAGGGUCGGGCCUGGUUAGUACUUGGAUGGGAGACCACCUAGGAAGACGAAGUGCAGUAGGCG